rnacentral:lncRNA from 12 species
GAGAAUAAGGGAUUUUGUUGGCUAAAUUAUGUGUUUAUAGCUAAUGAUAAUUUUUUUUCCACAGGUUUUAGAGGAAAGUGGUGUCCAAACAAUCGGUUAAGCCCUUCUCAUUAUUCUGAAUGCAACCACCUGAAAAUUUUCACUUGGCAUCCUUGAGUUCAGACCUGUUUCACCCAUGGUAUGUGACUGGAAAGAGCGCAGCUGGCCUGCAGUGGCUAAUCCUUUUAAUUCUACUUGGGGGAAUCUGACUGGACAAAAUAAAGGAGUAAGUCAUCCGAGAAGACCUGUUUCAGGGUGGCAGCUCUGCUGGGGUUCAGCACAUGGUUGCCACAUUUCCUGGAGUUCCCUUUGGUGCCUCCACUGACAUUACUGCUUGUCAUUUCUGCAAAAUCACAUCACCAAUUUUGAUGCUUGAGUAAGUAUUUAGGAGCUUAAUUACAGACACUUAUUUCUGCAAAAUGCAUCCCAGCAUUCUGGCCUGUCCCCCACAGUGUUUCCAGUGGUCUAAGUGACCAUUAGUGACUGGCUCUAGCAUCUUUGAAGAAAGGACUGUCCUUUGGAUGAGGAAAUCUUGAGCCUAAGGAUGUACUUGAAGCUGUCUGAUUUGGGCUUUGUUUUUAAGGCUGCUUUGAAUGAUGAGGCUUGGAAGAGCAGAGUAAGGCUCCAAAGGUCCUCCUAUCCUCCUGCCCUGCCAUCUCUAGUUAAGUUCAACUGCUAAGUGGUAUUUAUAAGUUGCUUUCUCUCUUUAAAUGUCAUGCCCUGCGUGGUAAGCUCCUGGAUGCUGUCUCACCCCUGGCCAGGGCACUGACUGCACAGGGUGCUGAACGGCAAUGAAGGUGGCAGACCUGCAUGUCUGGCUGGUCCUUUGCAGUCCCUACCCUGAGCCCACCACACACCCACAUAUGAGAAGCUUCUUCUGCAUCCAGACCAGCUAUAGCUGUGCCUCCAUCCACACUGCACAGCUGCAGACUGAGCCUUGUUUCCAGACAGGAGCAGCAAAACCUGACUUCAUUCUUCUAGUUGAAGUGAUCCAUGGCUUUGCUGUGUGUCCUGCAACUCGGCAGGUAGUUUUUCCUUUAAUGAUCUUCACAGACCAUCUUUAAGGAAGAGGCAAGCAAGCAAUUAAUAAAAGUGUGAACAGGUGGUUGCUCUACUACUAAAAAU